CGUCUUCGGAGGUACUCGAGUGGCGAACGGGUGAGUAACACGUGAGUAACCUGCCCUUGACUUUGGGAUAACUUCAGGAAACUGGGGCUAAUACCGGAUAGGAGCUCCUGCUGCAUGGUGGGGGUUGGAAAGUUUUUCGGUGUAGGAUGAGCCCGCGGCCUAUCAGCUUGUUGGUGGGGUAAUGGCCUACCAAGGCGGCGACGGGUAGCCGGACUGAGAGGUUGGUCGGCCACAUUGGGACUAAGAUACGGCCCAG
rnacentral:rRNA from 1 species